AUGGCCUCCGAAUAACUAGAUGCGAGUAAAUAUGAUCUGCAUCUGGCUCAGACAGAGGCCAAGAGUGAGAACAAGGGCAUAGCUAUGUCUCUUGGCUGAAUCCUUUUGAGGGAAGGGAAAUUAUAUGUUAGUUCCUUUCUUAGAUGGCUUCAGAUAUCU